ACUCCUACGGGAGGCAGCAGUGGGGAAUAUUGCACAAUGGGGGAAACCCUGAUGCAGCCAUGCCGCGUGUGUGAAGAAGGCCUUGGGUUGUAAAGCACUUUCAGUAGGGAGGAAGGUAGUGUAGUUAACACCUGCAUUAUUUGACGUUACCUACAGAAGAAGCACCGGACUAACUCCGUGCCAGCAGCCGCGGUAAGUACGGAGGGUGCGAGCGUUAAUCGGAAUUACUGGGACGUAAAGCGCAUGCAGGCGGCCUGUUAAGUCAGAUGUGAAAGCCCGGGGUCUUAACCUCGGAAUUGCAUUUGAAACUGGCAGGCUAGAGUCUUGUAGAGGGGUAGAAUUUCAGGUGUAGCGGUGAAAUGCGUAGAGAUCUGAAGGAAUACCAGUGGCGAAGGCGGCCCCCUGGACAAAGCUGACGCUCAGAUGCGAAAGCGUGGGAGCAAACGAGGAUUAGAUACCCCUGGUAGCGACUGA
rnacentral:rRNA from 1 species